rnacentral:rRNA from 1 species
UACAGAGGUCUCGAGCGUUGUUCGGAUUCAUUGGGCGUAAAGGGCGCGUAGGCGGCGGGGUAAGUCUGGUGUGAAAUCUCGGAGCUCAACUCCGAAAUUGCACUGGAUACUGCUCUGCUAGAGGGCUGGAGAGGAGAUCGGAAUCACGGUGUAGCAGUGAAAUGCGUAGAUAUCGUGAGGAAGACCAGUGGCGAAGGCGGAUCUCUGGACAGCUCCUGACGCUGAGGCGCGAAAGCGUGGGGAGCGAACAGG